rnacentral:rRNA from 1 species
AGUCGAACGAAGUAGCAAUACUUAGUGGCAGACGGGUGAGUAACAUGUAGGUAUCUUCCCAUUGGUGAGGAAUAACACGAGGAAACUUGUGCUAAUACCUCAUAAGUCUUUACGGAGAAAGCUUUAUGCGCCGAUGGAUGAGCCUGCACUUGAUUAGUUUGUUGGUAGGGUAAUGGCCUACCAAGACAAUGAUCAAUAGCUGAUUUGAGAGGAUGACCAGCCACAUUGGGACUGAGACACGGCCCAAACUCCUACGGGAGGCAGCAGUAGGGAAUCUUGCACAAUGGGGGAAACCCUGAUGCAGCGAUGCCGCGUGAGUGAAGAAGGCCUUUGGGUUGUAAAGCUCUUUCGUCGGGGAAGAAAAUGACUGUACCCGAAUAAGAAGGUCCGGCUAACUUCGUGCCAGCAGCCGCGGUAAUACGAAGGGACCUAGCGUAGUUCGGAAUUACUGGGCUUAAAGAGUUCGUAGGUGGUUAAAAAAGUUGGUGGUGAAAUCCCA